rfam:Clostridium sp. CAG:302 genomic scaffold, scf81
GGCCAAUUAGCUCAGUCGGUAGAGCACUCGGCUGUUAACCGAUAGGUCGUAGGUUCGAGCCCUACAUUGGCCG